UACGGAGGGUGCGAGCGUUGUCCGGAAUCAUUGGGCGUAAAGGGCGCGUAGGUUGCCCGGUCAGUUCGUGGUGAAAGCGCGGGGCUCAACCCUGCGUCGGCCAUGAAUACUGCCGCGGCUGGAGCACUGUAGAGGCAGGCGGAAUUCCGGGUGUAGCGGUGGAAUGCGUAGAGAUCCGGAAGAACACCGGUGGCGAAGGCGGCCUGCUGGGCAGUUGCUGACACUGAGGCGCGACAGCGUGGGGAGCAAACAGG
rnacentral:rRNA from 1 species